rnacentral:rRNA from 1 species
GACGAACGCUGGCGGCGUGCCUAAUACAUGCAAGUCGAACGCAUUUUCUUUCACCGUAGCUUGCUACACCGAAAGAAAAUGAGUGGCGAACGGGUGAGUAACACGUGGGUAACCUGCCCAUCAGCGGGGGAUAACACUUGGAAACAGGUGCUAAUACCGCAUAAUUCCAUUUACUGCAUGGUAGAUGGAUGAAAGGCGCUUUUGCGUCACUGAUGGAUGGACCCGCGGUGCAUUAGCUAGUUGGUGGGGUAACGGCCUACCAAGGCUGCGAUGCAUAGCCGACCUGAGAGGGUGAUCGGCCACACUGGGACUGAGACACGGCCCAGACUCCUACGGGAGGCAGCAGUAGGGAAUCUUCGGCAAUGGACGCAAGUCUGACCGAGCAACGCCGCGUGAGUGAAGAAGGUUUUCGGAUCGUAAAACUCUGUUGUUAGAAAAGAACAAGGAUGAGAGUGGAAAGUUCAUCCCUUGACGGUAUCUAACCAGAAAGCCACGGCUAACUACGUG